UACAGAGGUGGCAAGCGUUGUUCGGAAUUACUGGGCGUAAAGGGCGCGUAGGCGGCCUACUAAGUCAGACGUGAAAUCCCUCGGCUUAACCGGGGAACUGCGUCUGAUACUGGAUGGCUUGAGUUUGGGAGAGGGACGCGGAAUUCCAGGUGUAGCGGUGAAAUGCGUAGAUAUCUGGAGGAACACCGGUGGCGAAGGCGGCGUCCUGGACCAACACUGACACUGAUGAGCGAAAGCCAGGGGAGCAAACGGG
rnacentral:rRNA from 1 species